rnacentral:rRNA from 1 species
UACGGGGGGGGCAAGCGUUGUUCGGAAUUACUGGGCGUAAAGGGCUCGUAGGCGGCCAACUAAGUCAGACGUGAAAUCCCUCGGCUUAACCGGGGAACUGCAUCUGAUACUGGAUGGCUUGAGUUCGGGAGAGGGAUGCGGAAUUCCAGGUGUAGCGGUGAAAUGCGUAGAUAUCUGGAGGAACAUCGGUGGCGAAGGCGGCAUCCUGGACCGGUAUUGACGCUGAGGCGCGAAAGCCAGGGGAGCAAACGGG